ACAGAGUGAAAUGGGGAGGUCCUAUUGGAAUGAGUUGUUUUCUGUUGCGUGGUCUAAUGGAUAGUUGGGACAUGAACCAGAUGUUUCCCUGACAUCAACAGGGGCGUUUGAUCCCAACAUUCCAGAGGAGGGUCCAUCGGCGCCCCCUCCUGGCUGGCUGGACUGUGUGACAGGGUACGACGAGCCCAAAGGGGGAGACACGGGAGACCAGCUGUACCCUCCUCCCCCUGCCUACAACCCUCAACCUGAGAAUGACAGGAAUGCAUCUGUCCCGAACGUCAGGGUACCUCAAGUGUCAGAGAGUGUGGCUAGGGAAGCUCUCCUGAAGUUUGUGGGCUCCAAGUGGUCCAAAAGCAGCAAGCCUGCCAGAAACCUGACCUUCAAGGAGCUACAACCUAUCACCAUGUAUCGGG